UACGGAAUGUGCAAACGUUAUUCGGAAUCACUGGGCUUAAAGAGUCCGUAGGCGGCAUGUGAGGUGAGGUGUGAAAUCCCCCGGCUCAACCGAGGAAUUGCGCUUCAAACCGGCGUGCUAGAGGAAGAUAGAGGUGGGCGGAACUGAUGGUGGAGCGGUGAAAUGCGUUGAUAUCAUCAGGAACACCGGAGGCGAAGGCGGCCCACUGGGUCUUUUCUGACGCUGAGGGACGAAAGCUAGGGGAGCGAACGGG
rnacentral:rRNA from 1 species